rnacentral:rRNA from 1 species
UACAGAGGUCUCAAGCGUUGUCCGGAUUUAUUGGGCGUAAAGCGCGCGUAGGCGGCCCGGAAAGUCGGAUGUGAAAUCCCGGGGCUCAACCCCGGGCCUGCAUCCGAUACUCCCGGGCUGGAGGCAGGUAGGGGAGAUCGGAAUUCCUGGUGUAGCGGGUGAAAUGCGCAGAUAUCAAGGAGGAACACCGGUGGCGAAGGCGGGAAU